CUCAGGGAGCUGGUCCCCAGCCUGGCUCAGGUAGUCUGUAUACAGCAGGUGUUUUGGGGGCUGGCCCUGCUGUCACCCACUGCCUGUGGACUCGGGAGGCCCCAGAGUGGCCCCACACCUUGUUCCUGGCUGGGAAGAAGGCCCCUGUAGCUCUUCUGGAGUCCAAGGGUGGCUCCCCUUUGCCCUCUAACCCUGUUCCGCACCCAGAUUGGUGACCCUGCCCAGCCCCUCCUUAAGCGUCACCUCACCCCAUCACCUCUCCCCUUUGUCCUUCAGGGAUGAUUCUGGCCCAAACCCCAAGCCCUGCCAGCCUCUGUCCAUUGUCAUCUCCGCCAGGUGGGGUGGGGGUCUAGACCUGCUCCUGCCCCUCCCCGCCCACACCGCUCCCCAGAGAGCCCUUUCCCAUGGCCCUGAAGACAGGCAGGGUUGUAGAGGGCUUCCCAGUGCUGGGGGAGCAGCCCGCAGGCAGGAGGUGAGGCCCACACAACUGGAAGACCUGUGGUUCUGGCCUGGCCUGAAGGAAGUUAUGAUGACCCCAGCUUUCCCUGCCUGAUGGACCAGGCCGCUAGCCUGCCAGGGCAAGGCCAGGAGGGUCAUGCCUGUCCCCAUCCCCAGAGCAGUCUGGCCUCUCUCGCGGCCCACCAUGUGUCCUGCAGCCGGGCUGGCUGGGAGAAUUCAGGAUGCAGGUUGAGGAGGCAGCUGUGCAGGAAGCUCGAGGCCCCGGGAAAGGUCAUCUGUUGUGACCCUGAGAGAUGACCGCGGCGACAUCAAGAAACGGGAACCAUCACAUGAAGGCGUCCUGGCCAGAAGGAAGGGAAAACAUAAGACAGUGCAAAUAAAGUGUGCAGGAGGGGAAAGAAGAGACACAAGGCAGACUUAAAAGUAACACAAUUGGGAACACCUAAACACUAGUAACAUUGAGAAGCCUAAAUGAGGUACACAGACUCCUGGAAAAAUCGAAAAUGACGAAAAGAAGGGCAAAAAGAACAGGAAGAGACCGAAACGUGGCUGUCAGAGCCCUUCCCUCCCCCAGCCCAGAGUCCAGGCUGCUGUAUGAGAGAGUCCUACCCUGAUUCCAGGAACCCGUACUUCCUGUCCUGGACAGAAUGUUCCAGAAAGUGGAAAAGAGGCAAGGGGGACCGUGGCUCCUACCCAGACAAGGACAAACAAAAAGAAAACACAAGAGGUCUGUUUCCUUGAGGAAUUUAGGUGCAAAAAAUCUGAAAUAAAAUACUAAGUAACUAGACUCAAGUACAAGUGAGGAGUAGACCUCGUGGUCUGGGUGUCUCUCGUUUCGCGUCAAACAGCAUCAGUGCAAUGCAUCCGUCAAAGAAGAUCCUGUGGUUAACUCAGUAGCUACAGGAAAGCCUUUGACACCUGUAUUGAACACGGUAUUUUGUUACUGAUUAAAAAGCUCUUAGCGCAAUAAGAAUAGAACAGCAUUUCCUUUCCGUGGUGGGGGUCAGACGCCCAAAUCUAUAGCACCCGUGUAUGCGGUGGGGAAACCGGUGGCCGAGAUCGUGCCCGGGGCGAGCCACCUUGUGACGCUGAUGUUCACACAGUCCCAGACGCCAUGUGACCCGGCAAUCAUGCUCUGCAACUAAAUCUCAGUGCCUCCCCUGUUCCCACGUUGAAACCCCAACCCCCGAUAUGAUGGUGUUAGCAGGUGGGCCUAUGGGAGGUGCUGAGGUCUUGAGAGCCGAGCCCCUGAUGGGAUCCGUGCCCUCGUACGAAGAUGCGUCACAGCCUGCCCUCUCUGCCCCCCGCCGCGCCACUUGAGGACACAGCAAGAAGACGGCAGUCCGCGAGUCAGGCACUGGGCUCUCGUCAGACACGGGCCGCAAGCACCUUGACCUUGGACUUCCAGCCUCCGCACCUGUGAGAGAUAAAUAUCUGUUGAAUUAAGACGUGCGCCCAGGUAUU